rnacentral:rRNA from 1 species
GUGAGUCAUCGAAUCUUUGAACGCAUCUUGCGCUCCUUGGUAUUCCGAGGAGCAUGCCUGUUUGAGUGUCAUUAAAUAUCUCAAAACUCUUGUGCUUUUGUCGGCAUAGGACUUUUGGACAUUGGGAGUUGCCGGCUGCUGGUAAAGUAGUGGGCUCUUCUGAAAAGCAUUAGUUGAGGAGCUUUGCACUCUUAUUGGUGUGAUAAACUAUCUAUGCCAAGAGAUGCUUCAUGAUCCUCUGCCGUCUAACUGUCUUUAUAAGACAAUAUGAUAAACUUGACCUCAAAUCAGGUAGGACUACCCGCUGAACUUAAGCAUAUCAAUAAGCGGAAGAA